rnacentral:rRNA from 1 species
AAGGCUUCAGUACGAUUAAGUCAGAACUAUAAGUCUCAAAGCCCCGACGAGUAGGGUGGCGUGCCGGUGCGCGUUGAAGGCCAAGACGUGAGUCAGGCUGGAGCCGCCGGUAGUGCAGAUCUUGGUGGUAGUAGCAAGUACUCUGGUGAACCAACCUGGAGCUGUGAGGUCUGGAUUAGGGUUCCAUGUCAACAGUGAUUGAACAUGGGUGAGUCGAUCCUAAGCCAACUGUGAAAGCAGUGACAUCCCGACAAUGGGGCAUUACGUGAGCCGCUCUCGAGUAUCUCUAUCUCUCUCUCUCGAUCGAUCUGACUACAAGGUGUUUGGUACGCAAAAUGCGCACAUUACAAAAGUACAAGUGAGUGUGUGCGCGCGCUGCUCUGGGUGCGCUCAUUAGCGCUGGCAAAUAAAAAGAGAGAAAGAGAGUGUGGCUUAGCGUGAGAUUGCAAUUGCAUGGCCCUUGCGUCUGGUUCUAUGUCUGGCGAAAGGGAAUGGGGACUUUGUUCCUUGACCGGUCCCGGCACCCUCGAUUGGCUCUGCCAAUUAAUGGUCCAUGCAAAUGGAACCAGGCCACAGCCGCCGGCAGUCGCCCGAGGAAGAGUUUUCUUUUCUGCUUAACGCACGAGGUCAUCCCUGGAAACAGUUCGGCUGGCGAAAGGGUGCCCCGUUGCGGCAGAGCGCCACGACUGUCGUGCGCGUCUCGGUGUUCCUGCCGGUCCGUGAAGACGUGGUCGAGGGGAUUGCUCUUGUAUCAACGAAACGCCCGACAAGUUCGGGACGGACCGUACCCUAUAUCCGCAUCUGGUCUCCAAGGUUCGUAGCCUCUGCAGAGUCAGACACAUGUAGGUAAGGGAAGUCGGCAAACUCGAUCCGUAACUUCGGGAAAAGGAUUGGCUCUGAGGGCCGAGCUGGGCCGGGCCUUGCCUGCAAAGCAGUACCUAUAGUGACCGGAGUUUCAGGAGUGCGAGGGGCUCUAGUAGCUGCUUGCGCGUGUGUGUGCGCGUUCGCGCGUGCGCGCGCGUGUGGGCACGAACGAGUCCACCGCUCCGCUCCAACCACGAACGGCUGUGACGGCAAGGGCUCUGGGCGGGAGCGAUCAUACCGUUGGCCUCCAGCUCGUCUGGCUGGCGGCGGUGCUCCGUCUGACCCAUACGGCUCCAGCGGCUAGCGGCUAACUCAGAACUGUCAUGGACCAAGGGAAUCCGACUGUCUAAUUAAAACAAAGCGUCGUGACGGCCCC